AAUUACAUCUGUGGAAUUUAUUUAUAUGUCAAUGUCAAUAUGUAUGCAAGCGGGAAAACAAUGAUUUUAUUUUUGAAUUUUCCAAGAAAUGUAUCGAUUUUUGUGUAAUUUACAAGUAUAAAGUUUCAGUUCAGCCAAGUUAUGGAUAUUAUUAAGCCUAUUGCUACUGAUACAGUUCACAAAAUAUGUUCGGGACAGGUUGUGGUGAGUCUAGCAGUGGCUGUGAAAGAACUGGUGGAAAAUUCUUUAGAUGCUGGAGCAACUACUAUUGAUAUAAGAUUUAAAAAUUAUGGGAUUGAUCUGAUUGAAGUGUCAGACAAUGGUACAGGUGUUACUGAAGAUAACUUUGCUGCUUUGACUUUAAAGUAUCACACAUCAAAAUUAAGUGAAUAUUCAGAUCUACUUGGAGUGACAAGUUUUGGCUUCAGAGGAGAAGCUCUCAGUUCAUUAUGUUCACUAGCCAAUCUCACAAUCACUACAAGACAUAAAGAUUGUGAAUAUGCUACAAAAUUGGAAUAUGACCACAAAGGAAACAUAACAAAGCAAUCACCAUGUUCAAGACAAGUUGGUACAACUGUUACUUUAACAAACCUAUUUUCAUCUCUACCAGUAAGACAAAAAGAAUUUCACAAAAAUGCCAAAAGGGAGUUCAAUAAAAUGACACAACUACUGUAUGCAUAUUGUUUGAUAUCAGUUGGAGUAAAAAUUACUUGCUAUAAUCAGACAAGCUCCAAUCCUAAGUCACUUGUUGUGGGAACACAAGGUCAAGGUUCGUCUUACAAAGACAAUAUAGCAAGCGUCUUUGGAGUGAAACAACUGCAAACAUUACUUGAAAUAAAACCUGAAUAUGGCACAAAUAUAAAAGAUAACAUUUUCAAAGGUUUAUCAGGAGAAGUUCAAGAGAACAAUGAAACGGCUGAAAUAGAGGAUAUUGAAAUUGAUUUAUCUGAAGAUUCAAAUGAUGCAGAUAAAGCUGAUGCAACUAACAAUGACAUAAAUGCUUCACAAAAGUCUCAGGGUCAUAAAAAUAUUGUAAAACCAAUAGAGUUUACAGGUUUUAUCUCUUCUUGUGCACAUGGCAGUGGACGCUCAAGCACAGACAGGCAGUUUUACUAUGUCAAUUCUAGACCUUGUGAGCCAACCAAGAUUAUCAAAGUCAUUAAUGAAAUAUACAGACAGUAUAAUUCAAAUCAAUACCCUUUUGUAUUCUUGAAUGUUGAAAUGGAAAGAACAACCGUUGAUGUAAAUGUGACUCCAGAUAAACGUAAAAUAUUCCUCACAAAAGAGAAAAUUAUAAUGGAUAUACUGAAAAACUCCUUGGUAAAACUGUUUGAAACUAUACCUAGCACAUUAAAGAUAGAAUCAACUCCUAACUUUUGCAUUAAAGAAAGUAAAGAUGUCAAACCAGAAUUGAAACAAGCAAGAGUUUUCAAUUCUUUUUUGCAACAAUUUCAAAAUAAAACAAAGCUUGCUAAUAGUGUGUCUACAGAUGAUAAUGAAUCAACAAAAGUUGAACUCAAGCGAAAAUCGACAACAAUGCUAGAUUUCGUCUCAUCAAAAACCAAGAAAACAGAUUUUAUAAAAGUAGAAGAAGAUUUCGAAGAAACUGUUGAUCAAGAAGAAGAAGUUGAAGAUAAGAACAAUGAAUCAGCUGACAUCCUUGAAUCUGAAGAUGAAGAACUAGAGAGUUGCGAUUCGGUAAAGCAGAAUGAUAAUACAAGGGAAAUUAAUGAAAAUAAAGUCAUAGAUGUUGAUAACAAAUCAUCUGCAGAAGAUGAUAACAAAUCAUCCGCAGAAGAUGAUAACAAGUCAUCUGCAAAAGAUGAUAAAAAGAAAAUAAUGUAUUUAGAUUUUACUGAAGAUUUGCCUACUACACAAAUCAGAGAUCUUUCUAAUGUUGUUAUAGAGAAGUCCUACACAACAAAUUGUAAUAUGAAAGCCAUAAAAACAAAAGCUAAUACUUCUUCAUGUGAGGUCAAAGAAAGAACACCUAAAAAGCAGAAAAUUGUAACAGAUAAGGAAGAUUUAGGAAAAAAUAAUAGAAAAUCUGUAAUUCUAAACACAUCUCUAGAACAUGUUAAGGCAUUAACAAGUAUGUAUGUAAACAAUAAGAGGGAAUCAGCUCCAACAAGGGUCAAGUUUAAAAGUGAAAUAAAUCCUGUAUUCAACAAAAAAUGUGAGGAAGAAUUGACUAAGGAAAUAUCUAAAGACUCGUUCAAAAAAAUGCACGUCAUUGGACAGUUUAAUUUAGGUUUCAUAAUUACGCAAUUGGAAGAUGAUCUUUUUAUAAUUGAUCAACACGCUACAGAUGAGAUUUAUAAUUUUGAAACAUUACAGAAAACUACAGAGUUAACUAGUCAAAAAUUGGUAAUCCCACAGCAACUUGAACUAGCUGGAGCGAAUGAACAAAUAUUGAUGGAUAACUUGGAUGUUUUCAAGAAGAAUGGUUUUACUUUUGAAAUCAAUGAAGAAGCCUUGCCAACAAAGAGGGUAAAGCUUUUGACAUUACCCAUGUCAAAAAAUUGGAUUUUUGGGAAGGAAGAUAUAGAAGAGCUGUUAUUUAUGUUAAGGAAUAUUGCAGACCUAGUAGGGUAAGAGCAAUGUUUGCAUCCAGGGCUUGUCGGAAAUCAGUAAUGAUAGGCACAGCACUGAGCAAAGCAGAUAUGAAGAAGCUUGUUGACCACAUGGCUGAAAUAGACAAACCAUGGAAUUGUCCACAUGGCAGACCUACAAUUCGACAUUUAGUAAAUCUAGCUAUGGUCCAUACGAAGGACAGGCUUGACACCUGAUUUUGUGGUAUUUUACGAGUAUUAAAAUCAAUCUCAAUGAUGUUACUAUAUAUUUCAAUUAAUCAUGAAGAUAAUAAAACAAUAUUGAAUUAAA
rnacentral:misc_RNA from 1 species